rnacentral:lncRNA from 1 species
AUCGUUCAUGAGGAGGCCGGUUCUUCCUUCCAGAAACCUACAGGUUCGUGUGAAUCUUCGGCUGCUCCGGUCACCAUACACCGCGAGCAGGAGGAAGGCCCUGUGCUGAGCAGUAAAAGCUCAGUGAAGCGAGAGGACGACAUGAAUCACAGUGAGUUGUUUUUUUUCCCCAGUUAAACCUGUAAUAUGCAUUUAUUAGGCAUUCAUUUGUGCCUGUAAUAGAGUAGCCACUCAUAUUGCAUAUUAGUGAAUAGUUUUGCAGUUCUUACUAUGAUGAAUUAAACCACAUGCAUGUGAUGUUUGUGAUUUGUUUGUGAUGAUUGUAAUUGAUUGUGAUUGUAAUUGAUUGUGAUUGUAAUUGAUUGUGAUUGUGAUGUUUGUGUUUGUGAUUGUGAUGAUUGUGAUCUUUGUGAUUGUGUAUGUAUUGUUGGAUGUUUGUGAUUGUGAUUGUUGUGUUUGUGAUUGUGUAUUGUUGUGUUUGUGAUUGUGAUGUAGUGUGUGUGUGUGUGUAUAUAUAUAUGUGUGUGUGUGUGUGUGUGUGUGUGAGAGUGUGUGGGUGUGUGUGAUUGGAUGAUUCUUUAUAUAUAGAAAUGCAUUAGGAAAGUUAUUCAGAUGCUGUAAUGUAACUUUAAACUUUCAAUUUUCUGGACAUCUAAUUUUUUGACUGCUCCUCAGAAAUUCCUCCUUGCUUGCAGAAGUUCUGCUUUCUCGUCAUGUUUUCUAACUUGUGGGUGUGAUGUGUUGUGAAUGUGAUGUUUCUGCAGGUCCAAGGCGAGCGGCUCAACCUGCUAUGCGAGCAGAGAGCUUAUCAACGCCUCGGCACAGUGAACGCUCCUCAUCGACAGCAGCUCCGAGCCUGACAGCAGCGUCUAUGAGAGCUGCGGACGGGUAUUAUCACUGGACACUCACAGCAGGAGGUCUACAGUCCUGCCCUGUUUACUCACCCUGAAAACUCUUCGUUUUGAGACGUUUUGAGAUCAUG